CCUCUCUUUCCUUUUCUCUCUUCCUCCUUCUCCCCUCCUCCUCCCCCUCUCCUAUACUCCUCCCUCCCUAGUCUCUUUUCUCCCCUCCCCUCCCCUCCCCUCCCCUCCUCCUCUCCUGUUCCUUUUCCCCUCUCCUCUCCUCCUCUCUUCCUCUCCUCCCUCUCCCUUCCUCCCUCCCCCCCUCUCCCUUUCCUCUCCCCUCUCCUCCAUUUCUUCCUUCCCCUGUUCCUCUCCUCUCUUCUCCCGAGGCCUUUCCUUCCUUACCCUCCUUCUCCCCACUUCCCUACCCCCCACCUCUCCCCUGCCCUCUCCUCUUCCCCUCUCUCCCCCCUCCCCUGCGCCUCUGUCGGCUGUGCCUGGAGCCCACACUGACACAUCUUGUACUUCCCGUUUCCAGGGAAAUUCCUUGCCCACUCGACCACACCCGCCCUCGAGGACCUGCCCAUCUCUUUGGGCAGAGCAGAGGCCAGACAGGGACCUGGAUUGUGAGGCGACACCCCCCUGCUGGGGUCUCACUACCCCUGGCUGGCCUGGAAACGGCUGUGUAGACCAGACUAGCCUUGAAAUUACAGUGAUUUGCCUGCCUCUGACUCUCCAGUGCUAAGAUCAAAGCCCUGGCACCACCAUGCCCAGCCAAAAUUAACUUUUGAGGCUGACCUUGAACUUCUGAUCUCCCUGCCUCCACCUGCCCCGGAGGUAGGAUUACAGGUCGUUCAGAUUCUGGGCUUCCCCCAUCCUUUGGCCUGCAGAGCAAAAAGCCGAGCUUCCAGGAGAGGUAUGAGACGGCUGUGGGUGCUCCAGGCCCCUCUCUGCAACUCCUGCAAGUUGCUGCGGACCGGAGGAUGACUGAGACGCAGCCUACUGCCUGUUGACAUCAGAGUUGGCGCUCCCAGGAGCGAGAGGAGGGUUAGGAACCAACAAUUCUUCUCUGAAAAUUCAGUUUAAAAUGGAUUUCAGGAUUUCUUAUUCAGAACACGGACGCUCUCCUUGUGAGUCACUGAGAUGGAGCUCUGUAUAGAGCAUCUACAGCAUGCAAAAGGCCCAGGUUUCAAUUCCCAGUAUGGUUUAUUUUUAUUUACUUAAGAUUUCUGUCCUGAAAAAACUAUUUUGACUGGACAUAGCCUAUUUAAAAGGAAAUAAAGUUUGAGUCGGGUGUAGUGGCGCACCCUUUAUUCCCAAUACCCGGGAGGCAGAGGCAGGUGGAUCUCUGGGUUUGAGGCCAGCCUGGUCUACAUGGUGAAUUCAGAGAGUUCAGGACAGCCAGGGCUACAUAGAGUCUUGAAAAGUCAAAAACAAACAAACAAACAACAAGCAAAAAAAAAAACCCAAACAAACAAAAGUUUGAGAGUAAAACCCCAUGCAUCUUCUUUUAUCUUGUUUAUUUAUUUUUUUGAGACAGAGUCUCCUGUAGCCCAGGCUGGGAUUGAACUUGGCAUAUAGCCAAGGAUGAACCCGGAUCUCCUCAAGUCUCUCCUCUCCUCCUGUCAAGAGCUGGGAUGUCAGGCCAAUGUCACCACACCUGGCUCUUCCUGGUUUUCAAAUGGAAUUCAAACAAAUCUGGAGCCUAUGUUUUUUUCUAGUUGGUCAAGAGAGAUGUCCUUACAGCUGGGUCUUGG
rnacentral:lncRNA from 1 species